UGCCGGGCCUUUCCCUUGUCAGUGAGAAGUCUGGACCGUUUUCCCCGUGCUCUGGGAUCUGGGUCCCAGGGGGAGAGUGAUUCGCUUUGGGCCUGGGAAGGAAUUGCCUCCAAAUGCUUCCCGUAUGAGUGUUGCUCCAGCAGAGCCAGGCCAGGGCCGUGCCAGGGGCAGCCAUGCCCGCUCGUUAGAGAAAUAAUGGCCAGGUCUUCGUUUCAAUGGGAUUCUUGCCUUUUUUGGGCCCAGAAUUCGAAGGGAAAGGGGGAUUCCCCGGGCCAGGGCAGACGGGGAAGAAUCGGGUCUGGGAGAGGCCGGAGGAAGGUGUGGGACUGGCCAGCCGUCUCCCCCAGCCUCCAUCCUGUAGUAGGGCCGGACCAGCCGAGGCUUGAGGCCCUGAACUGCCGAGGGGACUCCAUGAAGAACAUCCACCCCCACAUUUCCGGGACGGCCUUUCCGAUGUGACUCUAUUAGGCCUUGGCUGGGCUCCCUUUCGUGGCUGCCUGCGGAUGCACAAUUAACGUGUUCUCUGGUGAGGGGAGAGAAAAGGCGGCACCUGAGGAGGACGAGUGUCAGAUUCUAAUCACCGUCCGCAGCUGCUGUCUGCAAUCACCUCUGGCCGACACGGGGGAUGCUGGGAGCUACCAGGCCUCGCCACAGCCCACCUCAUUAGACGUGACCUUCCCAGCUGGGGAUUUCAUUUGUGCUUCUUAAUGGGCCCGCAGACUGCAAAUCGCACACCUUAUGCAGACGGGCUCCUUUGUAUCUGCGACAAAAGAGAGCCGCCAGUUGGGCACACCGUGAGAGCCCACCGGAAGGGACAGACUUUCUCAGCCGCUGACCGCGGAGGGCAGAGCCUUGUCCGAGAUAAAUGGCUCUCCGGGCUUUGAAGCCCUCCAGUGUGUGCCCCCGCCCACAACGCGGCCGCCAUGACAGGCCCUCAGUGCUCUGGCAGAGGGAGGAGGACCGUCCGCCUAUGGCCGCCUUCAGACAGAGCUUUCUGGUUUCCAGCAAACGCAGCCCCCCCCCCUCCCCCCAAAGGCCUGGAUUCCUUCCUGUUGGACUGUUGGCCACCGAGAAGAGCCUUGGUCCAAGCGAGGCCAGAGUCUGCGCCAGCGGAGACGCGAAAAUGGUGAGGAGGGCGAGGGGGGCGCGCGGAAAGAAUAAAUAUGGCUGCUUCCUUCCCCCUUUCCAUUUGUGUUUGUAAUAAACUCACUCUCAUACAAUUAGCCUCAAUUGUUUUGCUAUCUUCAGAGGCAAUAAUCUGGGCAGCCUGGGGAUUCGGGGAGUAAUCCGUCUACCUGUGUUCAUUUACCCAAAUCACUAUGGUUACAGGCAGGGCCAAGUGUUGGCUGGGAGGAUCCUGGGAGCCCCUUUCCCGCUCCUAAUGACCUUUCUGCUCCUCCAAUAACAUCCCCCAGCCGGGGAGGCCGCCCGGCCCAUUAAAGCCAAUUGCCUCUCCAGUUACUGAGGGACCUGGGCUUUUCCUCAUUUAUUUUCUCCGUCUGAUGUAACUCACAUGCCACUUUCUUGUCUUUAAAGAAGGGGAAAAACUGGGGAUUAUUGAUUUGCUUCUGAACAGAAGACCAACCUAAAAGCCCCAAUGAAUUGUCACUCAUUAUUGAAAUUACUGAGCACUAAUUAAACUGGCAGCCCAAGUCCCAGCAGGCCACACUCAUCUGAAGCUGAAAUCCAGACACUUGGACAGUGGAAGAGAGGCAGCGUUAGCAACCAUCGGGCCGGGGCUGCAUUUCUCUGCUGGUCUGUCCUUUCACUGAUGUUGGGGACUCGAAGUGAAUGAAACCUCUCCACCAAGGACGCUGCUAUUUCUAGCCUUAACGAUUUGCCCCGAGCCCUAAGAAGUUGAGAGAUUACUCAGUCAGAAGGAGUCUGAGAGUUACCUUUGGGAAAACAGCCCACUGGGAAAAGAUGCUCUAGCUACACUUGGAUGGCACACUCAAUGGAUUCUGAGAACUUGUCUGCUUUUCCAGCUGGUCACAUGACUGAAGCUAUUUGAUCACCUGACACAAUUUCUGAGCUGAAAUGAAAUGCAAAUUGUAAAGCUUAGACCCUUUUCAUAUUUGUAAGAAAAUGGGUCCAGAAACGGGAGGGGCUUGACCAAGGUCAAACAGCUAGCUAGAGGU